rnacentral:piRNA from 1 species
GUCAACUUUCAGGAUGAGAGGAAUGUGA